rnacentral:rRNA from 1 species
UACGGAAGGCAGCAGUGGGGAAUAUUGCACAAUGGGCGCAAGCCUGAUGCAGCCAUGCCGCGUGUAUGAAAAAGGCCUUCGGGUUGUAAAGUACUUUCAGUCGUGAGGAAGGUGUUAAGGUUAAUAACUUUAGCAAUUGACGUUAGCGACAGAAGAAGCACCGGCUAACUCCGUGCCAGCAGCCGCGGUAAUACGGAGGGUGCGAGCGUUAAUCGGAAUUACUGGGCGUAAAGGGCACGCAGGCGGUUAAUUAAGUUGGAUGUGAAAUCCCCGGGCUUAACCUGGGAAUGGCAUUCAAGACUGGUUAGCUAGAGUCUUGUAGAGGGGGUAGAAUUCCAUGUGUAGCGGUGAAAUGCGUAGAGAUGUGGAGGAAUACCGGUGGCGAAGGCGGCCCCUGGACAAAGACUGACGCUCAUGUGCGAAAGUGUGGGGAGCAAACGAGGAUUAGAUACC